UGCAUCUGCCUGACGGCUUUCAGAGCGAGCCAUCCCUGCCAGCCAAAGCAGAUUCUCUGUGCCUGCUUCCAAGCAGCACGAGCUGAAACAACUGGUGGCAGAGUGGGGUGUCUCUACAGUCCUAGCCAUGAAGAGAGGAGAUGAAACAUCCUCCUGCUUGCAGCACAGGGAGGAGGCUGGAGCUGGGCUGCUUUCUCCACACCUGUAGAACUGCCAUGAAAUGGGGAUUCUUUGUGUUUCAUUGGUUUCUCUGAGGAAAACAGCAACCCUGAGAUGAGACAGAGCCUGGGGAAACUCUUGAUGCAGUUGGUGGGUUCUCCCCAGGGGCAAAGGAACUGCUCCAGGAGCUCUGCACACCUCCAGGCAAGGUCCUUCCCAUGGAGGAGGUGAUGGGAGCUGGUCGAGGAGGUCCUUUUCCAAAGGCACGUCACAGGGAUCAGGGCUUCCAGCCUUUUUAGCGUCUUCGUGAAUGAGGUAAAAGAUGGACUAAGCAGCAUGUGAAUG